CGGGAUAUAGCGCAGCUUGGUAGCGCGCGUCGUUCGGGACGACGAGGUCGCAGGUUCGAAUCCUGUUAUCCCGAC
rnacentral:tRNA from 1 species